rnacentral:rRNA from 1 species
CCUACGUGAGGCUGCAGUGGGGAAUAUUGGACAAUGGGGGAAACCCUGAUCCAGCGACGCCGCGUGAGUGAAGAAGUAUUUCGGUACGUAAAGCUCUAUCAGAAGGAAAGAAAAUGACGGUACCUGACUAAGAAGCCCCGGCUAACUACGUGCCAGCAGCAGCGGUAAUACGUAGGGGGCACGCGUUAUCCGGAUUUACUGGGUGUAAAGGGAGCGUAGACGGCAGCGCAAGUCUGGAGUGAAAUGCCGGUGGCCAACCCCGGAACUGCUCUUGAAACUGUGAAGCUGGAGUGCAGGAGGGGUAAGCGGAAUUCCUGGUGUAGCGGUGAAAUGCGUAGAUAUCAGGAGGAACACCGGCGGCGAAGGCGGCUUACUGGACUGUAACUGACGUUGAGGCUCGAAGGCGUGGGGAGCAAACAGGAUUAGAUACCCGAGUAGUC